rnacentral:rRNA from 1 species
GCUUGUCUCAAAGAUUAAGCCAUGCAUGUCUAAGUAUAAGCAUUAUACAGUGAAACUGCGAAUGGCUCAUUAUAUCAGUUAUAGUUUAUUUGAUGGUUCUUGCUACUUGGAUAACCGUAGUAAUUCUAGAGCUAAUACAUGCGUCAAACCUCGACUUCUGGGAGAGGUGUAUUUAUUAGAUGGAAACCAAUGCGGGGCAACCCGGUAUAUGGUGAUUCAUAAUAACUUUGCGAAUCGCAUGGCCUUGUGCCGGCGAUGAAUCAUUCAAAUUUCUGCCCUAUCAACUUUCGAUGGUAAGGUAUUGGCUUACCAUGGUUGCAACGGGUAACGGAGAAUUAGGGUUCGAUUCCGGAGAGGGAGCCUGAGAAACGGCUACCACAUCCAAGGAAGGCAGCAGG